CCUCGGCCCGCGUGUGACUCAGCCUGGAAGCUGGACCAGAUGGUGGGAGAGUUGGAGAUUAGCACUGCCAGGGGUUGCUCAGAGCAGCUGCCUAACUGCAAAGGUCAAGGCUGGAACCCACCCUGAAUGAAGAGCAGAGAUGUGCCUUGUAUUUCUUGGUAUCUCGUGAUGAAAUGAAGAAAUGUUGUGUCCAAGGGGGGCAAGCACAGGAUGCUCACGGCAGCAGUGUUCCUAAUGAUAAAAAAAUCGGAAGCAACCUAACUGCCCAACCAUAGGGGACUGAAGAAGAAUUUGUGCGUAUUCCUAUUACAGAAUAUUAAGCAGCAGGCUAAAGAAGGCAACAGAGCUCGAAGUACUGACGUGGAAAGAUCCAUGACAGGUUACAGAGGGGAAAAAAGCAAGUUGCAGAACAACACAUGCGCUGUUCUUGCCUCCCGCAGAUAUUUACGGAGCGCUGCUCUACGCCCAACACCGUCCUAGGCACUGGGACUACAGCCGUGAACCAAGCAAACUCCCUACCCUAGCUGAGUAAUGUCCUACCUAGGGGGGAUGGUAAAGGCAAGGGGAAAAUGUUAUGUCAGGCGUGAUAAGUACAAUCGAAAAGUAUAUGACGGGAGAUGUUUUCCCAUUUUUGUAAAAAGCAUCGCCACAAAAUAAUACUAUGUGUGUUCUGUGGGUAUUGAUUUAUGUAGAUAACAGCACAGGAAAAGGUCUGCAAGGAAGCACCCCAAACUGCUGACCCUGUUAUUCCGCAGGGGACGGUGGAUGCCGGAGGGUGACCCCACAGAUUACUUGGGUGCUGGAAAGUUCAUAGUAGCAAGCGGCUGGAGGCCUCACACAGUGCUGGGGGAAUUAGAAAAUGGUACAACCACCUUGGAAAACUGUUGGCAACUUCUGAUCAAAGUUAAACGUGACUGGGCAAUCCCCCUUCUAAGGUGUUUGCUUAAGAAGAAUGAACACUUCGGUCCACACGCAGAUUUGUCCGACGAUGUUUAUAAUGACUUUAUGCAUAAUGGCCCCAAAGUGGAGACCCAGGGUGACUGGGUGACUGUGUUGUACCUCCACGCGCUAGAGCACUACUCAGCAAAGAAAAGCAACGAGCUACUGGCACUUAGAUGAACCCAAAAGCAUUUUGCUGAGUGAAAGAAAGAGGCCAGGCACAAAAGAACACAUACCAUCUGAUUCCAAUUCUAUGACAGGCAAAACCAAUCUACCAUUGCUAGAAACAGAAGGAUGAUUGCCUGGGGGUGGGGGAUUGUGGGUUGACUGGAAGGGACCUGAGGGACUUUUUGGGGAUGAUGGAAAUGUUCCAGAUCUUGACUGGCGGGGAAUACACAUGGUGUGGGCAUUUGUCAAAAUUCACUGAAUCAUACGCUUCAGAUCUGUGCAUUUCACUAUACGUAUUUCCUACCUUAAAAAUAAUAAAAUAACCACCAGAGCUUGGGGGAGACGCCUCUGACAUGUUAGGAGUGUUUAUUUCCAAAUGGUGGAAAUAUAGGUGAUUUUCAUUUUCUCCUAUAUGCUCAUCUGGGUUUUUCCAAGG